rnacentral:lncRNA from 1 species
UCUGGGAUCCCCAAGUCUGCACCAACCGGGUUGGCCGCGGGGCCGCAGGUCCCCCUCCCCCGCCCCCUGGUCCCAGAUGCACACACUUGAGGCGCUGGUUAUUCCACCGCCGGUUCUGCGCGGGGCGCGAGGCAGCUCUCAGCUCUCUUUGCAGCCUGGCGAGCCUGAGCGCCCGGCUCCCCAGAGCUGAGCUCGGAAGAAGGGGUGGGCUCCCCUUCUGGAUCCUUGCCACCCCCCUCCGCAGGCGCGCGCGCGCACACACACACACACACACACACACACACACACACACACACGCACGAAUGCAAACACAUCUCGAUUAUUCCAUUCCGGUUCUUCCCUUCCCUAGAUGUCUUCUUUAUGUUUGUCUCCUCACUCCCCCACCCAAGUCCCUCGGGCACCCCCAUUCAUGCUCUGAAGAGUGACACUUGGAUAUGGCACUAACAACAACAACAACAAUAAUAGCUACCAUCUGGAGAGCUUUACUCCAAGCCAACCAUGAGCUCUGUUUUACGUAUAUUAUCCUGUUUAAUCUUCACAGCAGCAGCCCUAUGAGGUAGAAAAGUCAAGGCACAGAGAAGCUAAGAAAACUUGCCCCAAGGUCCCACAGCAGGAAGUAGCAAGAGCUGAGAUUCAAACCCCAGCAGCGUGGCUCCUGAGCCACUACACUGCAGCGGUUUGCCCUGCAAUGGACAAAGAUGGAACCAGUCAUGUGACAAGGUGGGAAGAGAGUGUCUGGGCAGAGGGAGUCUUAGUGCAAAGACGCUAAGGCAAGAAUACACUUGGUGUAUUCGAAGAACAAACAGCAAGGAGGCUUGUUGGCUAAAGCAGAGUGAGAGAGGGGGAUGGGAAGGGGGGACAAUCACUUGAGGCCUUAGUGGCAGGUUACAAAGUUAGAAUUUCAGCCGGGUGCGGUGGCUCACGCCUGUAAUCCCAGCACUUUGGGAGGCUUAGGCGGACGGAUCACAAGGUCAGGAGAUCGAGACCAUCCUGGCUAACACGGUGAAACCCCGUCUCUACUAAAAAUUAAAAAAAAAAAGUUAGCUAGGCGUGGCAGCGGGUGCCUGUAGUCCCAGCUACUCGAGAGGCUGAGGCAGGAGAAUGGUGUGAACCCGGGAGGUGGAGCUUGCAGUGAGCCGAGAUUGCGCCACUGCACACCAGCCUGGGCAAUGGAGCAAGACUCCGUCUCAAAAAAAAAAAAAAAGAUAUAAUUUCAUUCUAAGGGCAACAGUAAGGCAUCUUAAUGCAUGCUCCAAUUUAUGUUUUUCAAAACUCAUUCUGGAGGCCAGGCACGGUGGCUCACACCCGUAAUCCCAACACUUUGGGAAGCCAAGGUGAGAGGAUCACUUAAGCUCAGGAGUUGGAGACCAGCCUGGGUAACAUAGUGAGACCCAGUCUCUAUACAGUAAUAAUAAUAAUAACAAUAAUAAUAAUACUCACUCUGGCUGUUGUGUGGAGAGGAGCUGGGAAAGAAGCAAGAAGCUCUCUUGGAAGAAUAUUAUGUGACCUCACAACACUGAAGGCUUGGAUUAGGGUAGAGGCAAUGGAGAUGUAGGAAAUGGUCACAUUUGGGAUUUCCCUGAAGACAGAACUGAGAGAACUUGCUGAUAGAUUAGAUGGGAGCUGUGGGUCAGGGAGGGAUCAAGGUUGACCUCUGUCCAGGCACGGUGGCUCAUGCCUGUAAUCCCAGAACUUUGGGAGGCCAAGGCGGAUGGAUCACUUGAGGUCAGGAGUUCAAGACUAGCCUGGGCAACAUGGUGAAACCCAGUCUCUGCUAAAAAUACAAAAAUUAGCCAGGUGUGGUGGCAGGUGCCUGUAAUCCCAGCUACCCAGGCUGAAGCAUGAGAAUCGUUUGAACCUGGGAGGCAGAGGUGGCAGUGAACCAAGAUUUCGACACUGCCUUCCAGCCUGG